GUACAGAACAUAUUAAACCAUUGUACCAGAGCUAUAGUCUUACUUUACUUUUCAUCUUUCUUCAGCUACGUGUAUGUGUUUCUAAGCAUAACUUCUUGGAAAAAAAGGAAAUUCUUAGAAGCAAUUAGAGUAUCACACCCAUGCUAUACCCUUUGAUUCAUUAGCUUGCUCUAUUUUUCUGUUAUUUUGAAAUUACCCAAGCUGAAGCAGAAAAACUGCCAGGAAAAUGUCACAGCCACCCCUUACCGAACAGCAGAAACACCAGCAAAACACCAACUGCAACAUGGUGUAUUUUGAAGGAUGGGCGCCUCUGGAAUGAAGGCCUUAUUCAGGGCAGGAGGGUGGAAGACAGUGACAUUAAAGUUACCUACACCUACAGAAAUAAUUGGAGCACAUGUCUAUUUGGGCCAAGAGGAUAAAGGCCAGUAGAGGAAUCAGAUCAAAGAACCUCCUCGGGAAGUGUGCAGAGAACUGGAGUGGACCUUCCCCUAGGAAGCUGCCCAAAAGGAGAGUGCUGGAAAGCUGGCUGCAGUGAGGCGCUUCAGAUCCCAAGGGUAUGCUGGGGAAGCUGCCACAGGUGGGAGCACUUGCUGCUGGCCCCUAGGCACUGUUGAAACAACUGGACCCUCUGCAGGAGCCCAACAAGCCAAAGCCAGGCAUCCCAUCUGGAGAGAGAGAAGACUGAAGCAGAAACACAAUGGGAAGGAAGCAAAGAUGGAGAGACGAGUUUUCGGAUUCAACUGAAGCCCUUGCUAUCUGGUAGAGUCAGAGUCAUCACAAUUGGGGACUCUUCAUUAAGCUACACUUUUUAAUGGAACAUCCUAGUGAGGUUUGAGAGUACAGCCUGAUGGUCUAUAUCACAUUGCUAAGCCGAUUUUAUUGGACAGAACUUGUUUGCAUCCGUACUAGACAAAAACCUGCAAGUUAACCUUUGCCUGUAUGGAGUUGUAAAACCGACCAGUUGAUAGAAAGACAAGCCCGGUAAGUACUGCACUGAAAGAAUAUCCAGAUAUUUAUUUUGCCUAUUUCUAAGUUCUGAAUAAUGUUUCUUAUACCCAUACUCUUAAUACUCUUAAUGUAGGAGUGUAUCCAUAGUCCUCCCUCUACACUCUCUCCCUUAGUGAUCGCGCUCAGUCUUGUGGUUAUAAGUAACAUCAAUAUUCUCAUGAUUCCCAUAUUUAUAUCUGUAGUUUGGAUCUUUUUCUUGAACUGCAGACCCUUAUGUUCAACUGCCUGUGGCAUGAUGCACUUAGAUACCUACUGAGUAGUUUAAAUUAAACAUGUCUAAAACUAAAUUCUGUGUUAUGUUUUCCACAAAAAGCCUACUCCACUCACAUCCCCCAGUAAUACCUACUCUAUCCUUCCAGAUGAUCACAAGUUAUCAGUACCUUAUUUUGCCACACUCCAUAGGCGAUCCUACAGGAAGCACUAGUCCACCUUUGAUAUGGUUUGGACGUUUGUCCCCUUCAAAUCUCAUGUUGAAAUGUGAUUUGCAAUGUUGAAGGUGGGGCCUCAUGGGAGGUGAUUGGAUCAUGGGGGCAGAUCCAUCAUGCAUGGUUUAGCACCACCCCGUUGGUGACAUGUGAGCUCUUGCUCAGUUAGUUCAUGGAGAUCUGGUUGUUUAAGAGUCUGAGACCUCCUUCUUCUCUCUCUCUUGCUCCCCAUUCUCGCCAUGUGAUGGGCUGUCUUCCUGUCGCCUUACAUCGUGACUGUAAGCUUCCCGAAGCCCUCAGCAGAAGCCGAGCAGAUGUUGGCACCAUGCUUCUUGUACAGCCUGCAGAACUGUGAGCCAAUUAAACCUCUUUCCUUUAUAAAUUACCCAGCCUCAUAUAUUUCUUUAUAGUGAUGCAAAAAUAGCCUAAGUCAACCUUCAAAAUAAAUCAGUGUCUAACUACUUCUCACUUCUUCUACUGCUACCACCUUUUCUAUCUCUAGGUGAGUUCCUGCAGAAGUGUAGAGCUUCAGGGAGAUAACUUUUCUAAAUAAAACAGGGC